rnacentral:rRNA from 1 species
AGUGAAUGCUGGCGGUAGGCCUAACACAUGCAAGUCGAACGGCAGCACAGUAAGAGCUUGCUCUUACGGGUGGCGAGUGGCGGACGGGUGAGGAAUACAUCGGAAUCUACUUUUUCGUGGGGGAUAACGUAGGGAAACUUACGCUAAUACCGCAUGCGACCUACGGGUGAAAGCAGGGGAUCUUCGGACCUUGCGCGAUUGAAUGAGCCGAUGUCGGAUUAGCUAGUUGGCGGGGUAAAGGCCCACCAAGGCGACGAUCCGUAGCUGGUCUGAGAGGAUGAUCAGCCACACUGGAACUGAGACACGGUCCAGACUCCUACGGGAGGCAGCAGUGGGGAAUAUUGGACAAUGGGCGCAAGCCUGAUCCAGCCAUACCGCGUGGGUGAAGAAGGCCUUCGGGUUGUAAAGCCCUUUUGUUGGGAAAGAAAAGCAGCAGGUUAAUACCCCGCUGUUCUGACGGUACCCAAAGAAUAAGCACCGGCUAACUUCGUG